AGCAGCCGCGGUAAUUCCAGCUCCAAUAGCGUAUAUUAAAGUUGUUGCAGUUAAAAAGCUCGUAGUUGAAUUUCGGGAUCAAUUUAUUGGUCGUGCUAUUGUACGUACUGGUAUUAUUGAUUCCUACCUUCUGACGAACCAUGAUGUCAUUAAUUUGGUGUCAUGGGGAAUCAGGACUGUUACUUUGAAAAAAUUAGAGUGUUUAAAGCAGGCUCACGCUUGAAUACAUUAGCAUGGAAUAACGAAAUAGGACGUUUGAUUCUAUUUUGUUGGUUUCUAGGAUCGACGUAAUGAUUAAUAGGGAUAGUUGGGGGCAUUAGUAUUCAAUUGUCAGAGGUGAAAUUCUUGGAUUUAUUGAAGACUAACUACUGCGAAAGCAUUUGCCAAGGAUGUUUUCAUUAAUCAAGAACGAAAGUUAGGGGAUCGAAGACGAUCAGAUACCGUCGUAGUCUUAACCAUAAACUAUGCCGACUAGGGAUCGGAUGAUGUUAAUUUUUAAUGUACUCAUUC
rnacentral:rRNA from 1 species